GGGAUGUAUGGUUAAGUAACCCUACCGAAUGCUGGAAAGCCUGGAUACAGUGGACAUGGAGGAUGUUUCCAUUAGACAGAGAAUCUGUGAUCUUACAGCAAAGUCUCGGAAUAAAGAUGUUUCUCUUUAAAAUUGAGUCAGACCUGCGGAGAGAGAUUUAUUGGAAUAAAAACCCCAACUGGAAGCAUACCACAACUGAAGACAGGGGAACAUCAACAAGUUAACCAGCCCGAGGAUUGAGAGCAUCAACUGAAGAGAAUCCAUCUGACUCGGAGAUUCCAGUGAUUCAGUCAGGAGAAAGUUUGUUAGACCUGCGGUGAGAGAUUUAUUGGAAGAAAUACCCACAACUGGAAGCAAACCAAGAAUGAAGAUGAGGGAGCAGCAGCAAGCGAACCAGCACGAGGACUGAGAGCAC